GACGAACGCGGGCGGCGUGCCUAAUACAUGCAAGUCGAACGCACGAAAGUUGAAGAGCUUGCUCUUUAACCCAAGUGAGUGGCGGACGGGUGAGUAACACGUGGGUAACCUGCCCAUUAGAGGGGGAUAACAUUCGGAAACGGAUGCUAAUACCGCAUAGUUUCAGGGAUCGCAUGAUUCUUGAAGGAAAGGUGGCUCCGGCUACCACUAAUGGAUGGACCCGCGGCGUAUUAGCUAGUUGGUGAGGUAAUGGCUCACCAAGGCAAUGAUACGUAGCCGACCUGAGAGGGUGGUCGGCCACACUGGGACUGAGACACGGCCCAGACUCCUACGGGAGGCAGCAGUAGGGAAUCUUCCGCAAUGGACGAAAGUCUGACGGAGCAACGCCGCGUGAGUGAAGAAGGUUUUCGGAUCGUAAAACUCUGUUGUUAAAGAAGAACAAGGAUGAGAGUAACUGCUCAUCCCCUGACGGUAUUUAACCAGAAAGCCACGGCUAACUACGUGCCAGCAGCCGCGGUAAUACGUAGGUGGCAAGCGUUGUCCGGAUUUAUUGGGCGUAAAGCGAGCGCAGGCGGUUCUUUAAGUCUGAUGUGAAAGCCCCCGGCUCAACCGGGGAGGGUCAUUGGAAACUGGAGAACUUGAGUGCAGAAGAGGAGAGUGGAAUUCCACGUGUAGCGGUGAAAUGCGUAGAUAUGUAGAGGAACACCAGUGGCGAAGGCGACUCUCUGGUCUGUAACUGACGCUGAGGCUCGAAAGCGUGGGGAGCAAACAGG
rnacentral:rRNA from 1 species